rnacentral:rRNA from 1 species
UACGGUAGGGUGCGAGCGUUGUCCGGAAUUAUUGGGCGUAAAGGGCUCGUAGGCGGUUUGUCGCGUCGGGAGUGAAAACUCAGGGCCUUAACCCUGGAGCCUGCUUCCGAUACGGGCAGACUAGAGGUAUGCAGGGGAGGAACGGAAUUCCGUGGUGUAGCGGUGAAAUGCGCAGAUAUCAGGAGGAACACCAGUGGCGAAGGCGGUUCACUGGGCAUUACCUGACGUGAGGAGCGAAACGUGUGGGGAGCGAACAGGA